AAGAAACUUUAGUGAUAAAUAUGGAAAGUAUCUAUUUAGGACUACCUAUGCGUCUAUCUUGAUAGGAAUAUUUUUUUAUGUCAUGGACACGUCAAGAGAAGUCAUAGCAAUAUUCCUAUAAUGUCUUCAGUAUUUGUAAUCAUUUAAGGAAUCAACAUUUAAGGAAAUCAACAGCCCAUAUAUGGACGUCAACAUGACUAUUAGUAAUUGAAUAUAUCUUAGAUACAGAUGACAUAGCAACUCCUCGUCUCAAUAUCAUAUAGGGCUUAAAAAAAAAGCUAACAAUGUCUUAAGAUAACCUAUACAAUGGCUUACUUAUGCAACAUCUAGAAAUCUAUGUCACUCUGGGACGGAAUCCCGUCAGGCAUGCAAGGGAAAUCCUGCUGUAAAGUUUCUCAGGACACGCCCUCGGGAGUCCUCUGAGCUCAAGAGCUUAACGUCUAAUGGGAGGAAAGACUCCUUUUUCGUGUGUGUGAACACUCCCUAAACCUGAAGCCAGGCACGGUGCCAUUUGUGGAUUUAAUACAGGUUCAGAAAUGCCCUCGAACUGUACACAGUGCUGUCUGAAUUUACCCAAUAUUUCAGUUUGAUUAAUGUAUUUAUGGAUUUUUGUGUAGGCAAAACUCUGUGUCAUACAGCAGCAACAACUGCCUCAUUCGACCCAAUAAAAAACAUAAAUCGGUAAACAGCAGUGUUGUUCUGACAUGGACAGUGGGCAGCAGUGACGGAAAUCGGCGCCUGUCAUUGCAAACAUCACCCGGUCGAGCAGAAAGUGAUUCAUUAUUAUAGCCUACAUGAGGACACCAGUGGGAAUGUGGCAGGUGGGAGGCUGGCUUUGGUCGAGGGGGGGUCGGUUGCUCCACACGCUAAAUGCUGGAAGACCGGGUGGCAAAUCUUGAAUGAAAAUCUCAAAUACGAGGCCCACGUUUUUUGGUUGUGAUGUCAAACAAUGUCACGGGGCGGACAUGCUGCUGUGUCAGGGUCGAUGUGUGAAAGGGCGUGAGCAAAAAGAGAAGAGAUUGGGGAUAACAAGUUAGCCUAUUAGUCAGCGCUACAACAACGUCAGAGACGGAGGACGUUGUGUCCCAUCCGGGUUUGCCGUUACCGUGGCUGUGCUGCUGAACCGGGAUGACUAACUCCGUCUAUUGUGCUGUGGCUCAGCUGGGGAAGCUUCGUCUUCACAGCAUCAGGAACUGAAGCAGCCACUGGGGAGGGGCGACAGUCGAACAGAGAGAGCAGAAACAAGCUUGCGCAGCCGGGUGACACAUGACACAAAGCUGUAGAAUGGCAUGUGAAUCUCUCCAGCUGCAAACCUCUCAGACACCAGCUGGGCGACCUUGCCGUCAAGCUGCAUUCCUGGUAAAACAGAGGAGUGAAAGAAGAUUACGCAGACUGGACAGCAGGGAUUCUGUUUGUUUACGGCUCAGACUCCAGCGCCCUUUAGUCUGCCAGCAGAGUUAAGGACAUCUCAACAGGACAGGAGGUACAGUUAUGAGGAUGGAGAGUAAAGGUGAGCAGCGGGGCGGCACGAUGACUCAGCCAGAAAAGGAGCCGGGGCUUUUAAACCCCUCCGUCUGCGAGCAUCUGCCCCGAUGAAGUGAGACACUAACAGGAGGUCAAUCAAGUAUUUACACGGCAGCAGUGUUAUUGUUAACCGUGAAGUACUUUUGUAGGCGUGACUUGAUCGGAUGAAUGUCAAACAGGGAUCAUACUGCACGGAGACUGUGAUAGCAAAUAAUAUAGUGGGGACGAAAGGAUACAUCUUCUCCGAGGAUGAGCUGUCUGCACGUCUCCAGUGGCAGAUGGUAAUCUUUGUCGAGCACUGUGAUGAGGGGAGAAAGGCACAGAUUGAUGCAGAGAACUAAAACAAGGGUUUAAACUGGAUCAAGCUGAGGAGAGGUAAAGGUGAGGACAAA